rnacentral:rRNA from 1 species
GAUGAACGCUGGCGGCGUGCCUAACACAUGCCAGUCGAACGAAGCACCUUACCUGAUUCUUCGGAUGAAAGUUUGGUGACUGAGUGGCGGACGGGUGAGUAACGCGUGGGUAACCUGCCCUGUACAGGGGGAUAACAGCUGGAAACGGCUGCUAAUACCGCAUAAGCGCACGAGGAGACAUCUCCUUGUGUGAAAAACUCCGGUGGUACAGGAUGGGCCCGCGUCUGAUUAGCUGGUUGGCAGGGUAACGGCCUACCAAGGCAACGAUCAGUAGCCGGUCUGAGAGGAUGAACGGCCACAUUGGAACUGAGACACGGUCCAAACUCCUACGGGAGGCAGCAGUGGGGAAUAUUGCACAAUGGGGGAAACCCUGAUGCAGCAACGCCGCGUGAGUGAAGAAGUAUUUCGGUAUGUAAAGCUCUAUCAGCAGGGAAGAUAAUGACGGUACCUGACUAAGAAGCUCCGGCUAAAUACGU